rnacentral:rRNA from 1 species
GAUGAACGCUGGCGGCGUGCUUAACACAUGCAAGUCGAGCGAGUGAGUUCUUCGGAACGAUCUAGCGGCGGACGGGUGAGUAACACGUGGGCAACCUGCCUCAUAGAGGGGAAUAGCCUCCCGAAAGGGAGAUUAAUACCGCAUAAAAUUAUCGAGUGGCAUCACAUGAUAAUCAAAGCAGUAAUCCGCUAUGAGAUGGGCCCGCGGCGCAUUAGCUAGUUGGUGAGGUAACGGCUCACCAAGGCGACGAUGCGUAGCCGACCUGAGAGGGUGAUCGGGCACAUUGGGACUGAGACACGGCCCAGAAUCCUACGGGAGGGAGCAGUGGGGAAUAUUGCACAAUGGGGGAAACCCUGAUGCAGCAACGCCGCGUGAGUGAUGAAGGUCUUCGGAUUGUAAAGCUCUGUCUUUGGGGACGAUAAUGACGGUACCCAAGGAGGAAGCCACGGCUAACUACGUGCCAGCCGCCGCAGUAA